rnacentral:lncRNA from 1 species
GGAUAUGCAAAUUGAUGCGGUACGUUUCAAACCUCUUACUGAGCAAGAAAAGUCUCGUCGUCGACAAGAAGGAUUGUGCUUAUAUUGUGGAGAACCUAAGCACACUGCUCAACAUUGUCCAAAGAAGCGACGUAACUACAAAAUGAGGAGUACGGCUGUCAAAGAAGACAGUAUGUCGGAAAACGAGUACAUCCAGCUACAAUAGGGACCGUGCGGCUGGAACCUUGUACAACUUCUAAUGAAGGUCCUAUCCUCUCCUCAGAACCAUCUCCUUGUUUUAUAAUAGAUGUGCGUUUAGGACCUAAUAAUUACAAAGCCUCUGCCUUGAUAGAUUCAGGAGCCUCAGCUUGUUUUUUAGAUGAAGAAUUUGCUAGAUGUCAUAGAAUAUCAUUAAUACAAAAAACUAAACCUGUACACGUAGAAGUCAUAGAAAAUCGUCCGUCGUCUUCUAGAGAUAUAACUCACGAAAUAAGUCCUGUAGAUGUAGUAAUAAAUGGUCAUAGUAGUUGCGUAAUUUUUAAUAUAAUUAGAUCUCCCUCUAAUCCAGUAAUAUUAGGCUUAUCAUGGUUAGAAAAGUAUAAUCCUCGAAUAGAUUGGAUUUCUCGUAAACUUGAUUUUCCUCAGAGCAUUAGUAACAGUUCUAUUAAUCAAGUAAAAAACCAUGAGUCUAGUAUAGUAAAACCCACACUUAUAGGUGCAAAAGCAUUUAUACAUGCAGCAAAAGAAGGAUCAACUUUUGCUAUUUAUGCUGCACCUAUUUCUGAAAGCGUAAAGACUUCAAGUGGCAUUCCAAGUCAAUAUCAGGAUUAUCAAGACGUUUUUGAGAAAAAGAAUGCAGAUAUUCUUCCUGAGCAUCGCCCAUACGAUUGUUCAAUCGAUCUCAAGGAAGGAACUCAGCCACCAUUUGGACCAAUUUACAGUUUAUCGCAAGAUGAGUUGGCUGAACUCAAGACAUAUAUUGACGAGAAUUUAGCGAAGAAUUUCAUACGCCAUUCAAAAUCUCCAGCAGGAGCUCCAAUUUUAUUCGUAAAGAAAAAAGAUGGAUCUUUACAAAUGUGUGUUGACUAUCGAGGACUCAACAAGAUCACAAUCAAGAACAGGUAUCCAUUACCUUUGAUAUCAGGACUCCUUGACCAGUUAAAUCAAGCUAAGAUCUAUACAAAAAUAGAUCUAAGAGGAGCAUAUAAUCUAGUACGGAUCAAAGAAGGAGAUGAAUGGAAGACUGCGUUUCGAACCAGGUACGGACACUUUGAAUACAAUGUCAUGCCUUUUGGACUCACGAAUGCACCAGCUGCUUUUCAACAUCUCAUGAAUGAUGUAUUUCGUGAAUUCUUAGACAAUUUUGUCGUCUGCUACCUAGACGAUAUCCUGAUUUAUUCUAAGAAUGUUGAAGAACAUGAAAUACAUGUUCGUCAAGUAUUACAAAAACUUAGAGAUGCAGGAUUGUACGCCAAGAUAGAAAAGUGUGUAUUUCACACUACUCAAGUUGACUUUUUAGGAUACAUCAUUUCAAAUGAUGGUCUUAUGAUGGAUUCUAAGAAUGUCCAAACAAUCAUGGAUUGGAAGAUUCCAAAGACUGUAAGAGAUGUCCAAUGUUUCCUGGGAUUUGCCAAUUACUAUCGGAUCUUCAUCAAAGACUUCUCACGAGUUGCAGCUCCACUUACACGCUUGACUAGUAAAGAUAAAUUCCAAUGGAAUCAAGAAGCGGAAGCAGCAUUUGAAGCCUUGAAGACAUCGUUUGUCUCUGCACCAGUCUUAUAUCGUGUUGAUUUUUCCAAGGUAUUUUUUAUGGAAACAGACGCAUCGGAUUUUGCCUUGGGUGCAGUUUUAUCACAAAUGGGAACAGAUGACAAACUUCAUCUGAUAGCUUUUCAUUCAAGAAAAUUUUUAGCAGCCGAGAUCAAUUAUGAGAUCCACGAUAAAGAACUUCUUGCAAUCGUGGAUUCUUUUCAAGAAUGGCGUCAUUAUCUAGAAGGUGCUUCUAGUCCAGUCAUUGUGUAUACAGAUCACAAGAACCUCGAGUAUUUCAUGUUAGUACGCGUGUUGAAUCGUCGUCAAGCUCGUUGGAGUAUGUCUUUGUCAAGAUUCGACUUCAUUAUCACUUAUCGGCCAGGAAAACAACAAGGUUUGUCUGAUGCCCUGUCUAGACGUUCUUAUUUUGUACCAAAAGAAGGAGAUGCAGCUUUUGAGCAACAAAGAACAGUCCUCUUGAAACCGGAGCAAUUUCAUCUCCGAGCAGUGAAAUCAACACUGACUGUUGAUUCAACUUUUCUCAAGCAAAUCCAGUCCAGUAUGUCCUCAGACCCUCUUGUUCAUGAUAUCGAGAAUAAUUCUUCCAAGUCUCAUGAUUCUUCUAAGUUCGAGUUCAAGAAUAAUCUAUUAUAUUUUGAAGGACGCCUAUAUGUUCCAGAAGGAAAAGCACGUUUGCGUGUUCUUCAAGCACGUCAUAACUUUCCAGCAGCAGGUCACUUUGGAUAUAAUAAGACUCUGGAACUCAUAUCAAGAGAUUUUUGGUGGCCACAAAUGUGGAAGUCAGUCAAAGACUUUGUACAAUCAUGUGAUAUUUGUUCAAGAUCAAAAAUUCCUCGACAUCGACCUUACGGACUUCUUCAGCCAUUACCUAUACCAGAACAACCAUGGUCUUCUGUUUCUAUGGAUUUCAUCACAGAUCUUCCAAACUCAAGAUCUUAUGAUUCUAUAUUUGUGAUAGUAGAUCGUUUCACCAAGAUGGCACAUUUUAUGCCAUGUACAAAAUCUAUCACAGGUGAAGAAACAGCUAAGCUUUUCAUUGAUAAUAUCUAUCGCUAUCAUGGAUUACUUAAAGAUAUCAUAUCGGAUAGGGGAACUCAAUUUGUGUCGAGAUUCUGGAGGACUCUUUUCAAGAUUUUAAAAGUGGACAUAAAGCUAUCUUCAGCUUUCCAUCCUCAAACUGAUGGACAAACAGAGCGCGUAAACCAAGUCUUGGAACAGUAUUUAAGGUGUACCAUCAACUACCAACAAGAUGAUUGGACAAUCCUUCUGCCAUUGGCAGAGUUUGCUUAUAAUAAUACAGUACAUUCUUCCACGCAACAAACACCUUUCUUUGCCAAUUAUGGCUAUCAUCCACGACUUGAUACUUUUGAUUUUUCAAAAGUUGAUAAUCCUGCAGCAGAAGAUAUGGCAAAUCGGUUGUCAGAGUUACAUGCAAUAAUGAAGGCGCAGUUGAAGAAAGCUCAAGAACGACAAAAGAUAAAUGCAGAUGUAUAUCGUAAAGAGCAACCACAACUCAACGUGGGUGAUAAGGUAUGGCUACUUCGUCGCAAUAUCAAGACCACUCGACCUUGUGACAAAUUGGACUAUCGUAGGCUUGGCCCCUUUUCUGUUUCUGAACAGAUCAACCCAGUUGCAUAUCGGUUACAUCUACCGGAGUCAAUGAAGAUCCAUCCUGUAUUCCACGUGUCUCUUCUUGAACCAUAUAAGAGAGUGGAUAUACAAGGAAGAAGACAAAUGCCACCGCCUCCUAUAGAAGUAGAUAAUAAUGAAGAAUUUGAGGUGGAAGAGAUAUUAGACUCAAGGCGGCGCCGAAAUAAGCUGGAAUAUCUUGUUCAUUGGCGCGGAUAUGAUAUUAGUGAGCGCACAUGGGAGCCAUCCAGGAAUCUAGCAAAUGCAUCAGCUAAAGUCAAAGUUUUUCAUCAACGACAUCCAUCAAAACCAAGAUGAAAACCUCUCUUAUAAAAGAGACAAGAUUGAGGCAAGAUAACAUUCAAUUUCCUAUCCUUGUUUGUAACUUCUUUGCAUUUGUGACGCUAAUUAGAUGGAGAGCCAACAACUAGUGGAUUCAACUCAAGAACCUUCGUUUGCUGACUUAUCGGAUGAGACAUUGCGAUUGUCACAACCUUCAAGACGACGCAACCGAGAUGAAGAUCCUCAAGAACGACAUGUUCUUCCUCGAAUAGAUGGUGAGAUACAACGCAUUUGGUAUCACGACCUUGGAAGAGAUUCUCGAUGUUUGGUGAUAUUAUUGGAGAUAGGAACGACUCCUGAUGGUGUUUCAAAUGUAUUAUUUGAAGGAAGUUAUGAAGGCCUCAACAGUGAUCAAAUAACAGGGUGGUCUUCUCGCCCUGGAAUAGGACACUAUCGAUGGCUAAGAGGACCCAUCAACUAUCUUCGAAGAGAACAAAGAUCAGAGUAUGUAGCAAAUACAAUUCGCCGCAUAUUAGAUUUUCUCAAUAUAUAAUCACCGCUCCUCGUGGAACUCGUCCCUAGAAGGGGGGGUAAUGUCACGGACAUACAUAUAAUUACCUAUAUGAAUAGAUAAAAGUAUGUAAAAGUAGAUAAAAGUAGGUUAAUUGUGUAAUAUCUUCUAGAGAAGCUUCUUAGAAGCUUCAUAGACGCUGCUUUGACUUUAUUGGAAUCUAUAGUUGACUUUUAGGCUAGAAACUUGGUCAACAAGUUAGCCAUGUGCCACACAUGUUGGAAGCUUAAAGAACAAGCUAACUACGUGGUCCAUCCAUAGAAAACUUGCCUUGUAAGCAAAGGCAUGUGGCCUAGAAAGUCAACAUAUAUUGGAGGUCUUAUAGAACAUCGCCAUGUGGCUUCUAGUUAGAUAGUAUAUAUAGAGGCAAGAGUGAAGCCCUCUUCACUCUUGUCAACUCCUUUCUUGCUUCUAGUCUAGUUUCAAGGGUCUCUAGUUUUCUUGUAUUUUGGCAAUAGCCAUUCCAGUUUCUUUCUUAAUAUACAUAUUUCUAUUUUGUCCUAUUUCUUUUUUGAGAAAAGUCUCACUUACUCUUUAGCUUUCAUCGAGUUCUUGUCCUUGACAGAGCAACGGAAGAUCGACGACUAGAUUUGGAGGAAGCAUUUUCUCGGCUACACAUUCUACUUACUGUAUAGUGAAUUCUAAGAUUGGGUGAAGGAGUUAUGAGGCGUUGAAGACAGCACUUGUAAUUUGAAGGCAGUAAGUAUAUCGUUUUGUUGCUAGUUAUGGGUGAAGCCAUAUCUUGAGUUUCUGGACGAAUUUUUGGCUCAAAAUUUCCACAAGUGUGUGUAAUUGGGUUAAAAAGCUUUAGAUCAAAGUUUCAUAGUAUUUGAAUAAUUAAUUUGUGAGAUAUAAAGGAAGUUGUACACGGGUGUAAAAAAGCUAGGGUUUGAAGCUACAGUUAGGGUUUUCAAGAUAUCACAAAAUCCAAGACGAAUUUACGGUUGAAUUUUGGUGUGGUAGUUGCUAAAGAUAUAUCAGUACUCUAUGUAAAAUUUGGAGUUGUUUAGACGGUUAGAUCGUAAGUUAUGAGCUGUUGAACUUCAGAAAAAAUUCCUCAUAAGGAUAUAUAAGUUUUUUAUAACACCUUAUCAAGUAUUUUGGUGUUCUUUGGAUUUUAAGGCUUGUAUAUUGAUUUAAUUGCUCCAAAAGAGAGGAGUUUAUAUAUAUAAAAUUGUUACCCUUAUAUUUCAAACUUGAUUGAGUAUUUAGUGACAGCCAGAAGCCCAGCGCUUUCUUGAGGCAAACUCUCUCUACCUCGACAUAUUUGGUGCUUCCACUGAGAGAGCCUUAAGGCACUAAAAUUCUCAAUAAGUUAGAAUGGGGGAUCAAGUUCCAGGGUUUGGAUUACCAAGUGGAGUAGGUGCUCAUGAUUUAUUCAGGGCAUUUGCUCAAUUUAUGGAAGAAAGGUAACAGGUGCAUGGGGAGGAUAAGAAUACCACCAAAGCUUUACAAGUAGUGGUGGAUAAGGUUGGGAGGUUUGAUGGGAGGAACAUCACUAAGUUCCUCAGGGUUCAUACAUGUGAAAUGGAAGUGCAUCAGGUUUCAGAAGUAAAGAUGAUUUCUACCUUUGAUUUGGUAGUGGUACCAGAAAUCAGAGAGAGGGUGCAAGAGUUGCAUACUGAGACUAUAUCAUGGAAGAAAUUUGAAGAACUCUUGAAAGAUGAGUUUUUUGAGGAGGAUUCAGAAAGAAUGACAAAACAAACUUUUUUGGAUAGGAUAUAGCAAAGGCCAGGGAAUCAAAUGGCUCCCAAUGAAUUAAUCAGGGAAUUUGAGGCUAAGUUUGGACAGUUACCACGACAAGAGAGGUAGCUUUUGGAAACAAGGAAGAGUGGAUUGUUUUUACAAGCAGCUGAUGAACAUUUGGAGGAUAAGCUACUCUUUUAUCUAGCAGACAAGACAUCUGAGAGUGGUUUUACUAAUGAUUGGAAGCUAGUAAAAGAGACAGUGGGGCUUUUGGCUAGGCAACAAAAGAUUAAGACUCGUGGAUUAUUACCAAGGUUGGAGCCAAUGCGUGCAUCUCAAAAUCUAAUGCCACCUCAAAACAGAAUCAAGACUGUUAAGGAUGGUACUCUUGAAGAACUAAUUAAGGGCAUACAAGACUUGAAGGUGGAAAUGAUUGAAUUGAAGAAAUCCCAGAUGGCAAGCUCAUCAAAGACAAUUGAAGGCUCAAAGAGAUUUAUAGAAAGAUGUAUGUGGUGUGACAAUCAAAACCAUAAGCGUGGUGAGUGUGAUAGCUAUAAGGCUGCAAUCAAGGAUGGUAUUGUGUAUUUCAAAGAGGGUAGGAUAAGACUCACAGGGUCAGAUGAGCCUCUAAAGACUAAUUUUGGGAAGGGUGGCAUGAAAAAAUUAGUAGAGGAGCAAACAUCAAAGAAUAGUGCCAUAAAAGGGGAAGGAGCUGAGUCUUAUUCUAUUACAGUUGAACAAAAGGGAGUUAAGGCUGUUUCUUUGCCAACUAAAGGAGUCAUGAUGAGGGGAGCUGAAGCUAUCAGAAAGAAAACUGGGUGGAAUGAUCCAGUUGAUGCUAUUAGCAUUAAAGCAGAUUUGUGUGGAGACAAGCAUGAUGAUGAUAUGCAUGAUGCUAUGGUUGAGGAAAAAAGAGGUAGAACUAUUCAUGAAGAGGAUGUUAUUGAGCCUGAAAACAAGAGGAGGUCUCCAAGAAAUAAAGAAGCUUCUAAGGAGCAAAAAACUGAGAAGGUAUCUUCUUCUACUCAUCAUGGUAGUGCACCAUUACCAAAAGAGUGGUGGGAGAAGGACAAAGAAAAGGAGAAAGAAGAUACAAGCAAACCUAAAGGUAAAACUCCUGCUUAUAAACUUCAAUCUGAGAUUGAAUCAUCUACAGAUAUGAAGAGUAUUUUAGAAGAGAAGAUCUUGGAUGCAAAGAUUGAAUUCACUCUAAGAGAGGCUCUAGGCAUAGCCAAGAAGGAUUUUCAUGAAUUAAUCAUCAAUGUGAUAAAGAAGAAGAGGCAAAUGAUAGCAGAAGCUAUUAUGGUAGAGGCAUUGGAUACUUGGAUAACUGUGGAUGAAGAAGAAGAGAUAGGACAGGUAUUUGCACAAUUUACAAUGCCUGAAACUAGAAAUAAGGUUGAUAUGGAAAACAAGGUUUCAUUUAAACAUGUUGAAGGUAAAAGAGAGCAUCAAGUGGAAUGCACACCUUUGGGAUUUACAGGGAUAAGGAAGGAUGCACAAGAAGUAAGUGUUAAUACUUGCUCCAAAUGUGAAAAUGAGGGAAUAGAGAGUAGUAGUUAUUCAGUUCCUUAUUGGGCUAGAGCUACUACAGAAACAUAUGUGAGAUUGGGGGACUUUAAAGAUCCAAUUUUGGCCCUGGUUGAUCAUGGAUCUGAAAUCAACAUCAUGUCAAGGAAGAUAUAUGAGAAGAAUAAGUGGCCAAUUGAUAUCAACCAUGGUUGGGUAAUCAGAGCUGCAAACAAUCAACAAGGUGAUUUACAUGGAACUUAUCCAGCUGUAAAGACUAGAAUUGGAGAUGUAGAAGUGGAACAAAAUUUCUUUGUGUAAAACUCUGCUACAUAUCCGGUAAUACUUGGUCAACCUUAUAUUACAGCUGCUAGAAUGGAGACUAGAGUCUUGAAUGAUGGUUCACAUUAUGCCAGAAUUCAAAAUUGGGAUGGGAGAAAAGUUGUGCAAUUUAUUACUGUGAAACCUAUCCAUGAGAGAUACAGAGAAUAAUUAAGAGGGAUGCCCUUGGAGCCAGGAAAUAACUUUGUGGAUUUCUAAAAAGCACCCUUGUAAGAUAGGGGCACAUGGGUGCAAAUGAUUCAUCUACAAACCCCAGUGUAGAUAGUAUGAGUUUUGGAUUUUUGAACUUAUCUAGUAAUGGAUUUGUGAGUGUUCAAAAGGUUAAAGAUUUAGAUUCUAUAAAUAAAAAAAAUGGUAAAGAAACAAGAGAAGAACUUAAAAAGAGUGGGUUUAGUUUCAAGUGAUGAAGCCAUAGUUGGAGUAAUAGAAGAAAUAGGUUUGGAAGAUGAUUUGGUAAAGGUUUUGGAGAAUCUGGCUAUAAACAUAGAUGGAGAUGCUAUAGUAGAAAUAUAUUCAAGAAGGACUUAUGAAGGAUUAGAAAGGAUGGUAGCAAAUGGUGGACUUGCUACAAACUAUGGGUUGAAGCAUGAGGCUAGAGUACAAACUAAAUAUAAAACUGUGGCAAGAAAGGUAAAGCCUGUAGCUACACAAUUACCAGUUGAUAAUAUGGAGCAUAUUAAACAAGCAGUUAUGGAGCCAAGUCUAAGAGAGAGGCGUCAAAUUGGACAUCAAUUUAUACAAGAAUCAUUAGCUAAGUUGAAGAUUGGAGGGGGUGACUUCUUAACAUCAACGGAGGAAGAUAUGUUUCAAGAAAUGCUUAUUAGACAUGGUAAGGCAUUUGCCUUAACUCUUGAUGAAAUCAGAUGUGUGGAUCCUAGUAUUAUAGUACCUAUGGUAAUCUUUACAGUGCCACAUGUUCUAUGGGAUUUAAAGCCUAUACCUGUGCCUAGAGCUUUACUUCCAAAAUUGAUAGAAUUAUUAAAGAGAAGGUGAAGAUGGGUAUUUUGGAACCUUCAAUUGCUCCCUAUUCUAAUAGAUGGUUCACAGUACCCAAGAAGUCACAGGCAUUAAGGUUUAUUCAGGAUAUACAACUUGCAAACAGGGUGACUAUUCGAAAUAUGGGAUCAGGUCCCAUAGUAGAUGAAGUGGCUGAACAAUUUGCAGGUCAUGCCAUUUAUUCUAUUGGAGACUUAUAUUCUGGAUAUGACCAAUUUCAAUUGGCUAAAGAGAGUAGAGAUUUAACUACCAUGAAGACUCCUUUGGGUUUAAUGAGGAUGUGUACGCUACCUCAAGGUGCAACCAACUCAGUGGCUCAUAUGCAAAAUGCUAUGAACCAAAUAUUAAAAGAAUUUGUACCUGAGAAAACCAUUCCAUUUCUAGAUGAUAUACCUAUAAAAGAAGAUAAAAAAGAAGACAAGGAUGAGACUACGGAGGUUGAAGGUUGUAGAAAGUUUGUGAAGAAACAUAUUGAAGAUGUGGCUCAGAUAUUGGAGAGAUUGGAGUCAGUUAAUCUCACGUUAUCUUUAGAGAAAUCAAGCUUUGGAGUUGAUGAGAUUCUAGUGGUGGGGCACAUGUGUGGCAGGUAUGGUAGGAAACCAAAUCCUGAUAAGAUUGAUGCUAUAUCUAGAAUUGAGGCUUGUAAAAAUGUUACAGAAGACAGAAGGUUUUUAGGAGCAUGUGUAUUCUAUCACAUUUGGGUGCUACACUUUGCCCAUAUCUCAGAGCCACUAUAUAAGUUAUUAAGGAAGGGUAAGAAAUUUGUAUGGGAAGAAGAACAAGAAACAGCUAUGGAAAAUCUAAAAAAAAUGUUGAGUUCACCACCUUUGCUUAAACAAGUGGAUUAUCAAUGUGAAAGAUCAGUAGUUGUAACAGUGGAUACAAGCCCUAUAGCAAUUGGAUGGGCUAUUGGACAAAAUGAUGUAGAGGGAAGAAGAUUUAUUAUAAGGUUUGGAGCUAGGAUUCUUACAAAGAGACAAAGGGCUUAUCCACAAGUUAAAAGAGAGCUUUGGGGAGCGCUUACAGCAUUAAAGGCUGAGAGAAAUUAUUUGAUUGGAGCAAGUAUGGUUUUGGAAACAGAUUUUUUGCCAUUACUUUGAAUGAUAAUUAAAUGUACUACUCCAGAUAUUGCCAUGCUAAGAUGGAUAGCCUAUAUAAGGAUAUUAAACCCUGUUUUGGUACAUAUUACUGGUAAAGAGAACUUGGUGGCAGAUAUGUUGUCCAGAGCUAGAUAUACAUUUGAAGAAGAGAUGAUGGCAUAUGAAAGAGGUGAAGAUGAAGAAGAGAAGAAUUAUGGAAGUUCAUUUGCUACUGGUGGAAUGGAUUUUGGUGACAAGGUUCAAAAUUUCUAUGAAGGUACAUAUGAAGGCAAGUUGAAGGAUAUUGGAAUUUAUUUAAGCACAAUGAAAAAACAAGAAGGGUGGAUGGACAAAACCUUCAAAGAUAUUAGACACCAAUCCUAUGGUUAUAUACUCAGGGAUGGAUUUCUAUGGAAGAGGCCAAAAAGAGGUGACAAAAUCCCAUUGAGAGUUAUAGGAGAUCUUGAAACUAAAAUUAAGAUUUUAAGAGAAUAUCAUGAUACACUUUGGGCAGGACAUAGAGGAGUUUGGGCCACAUAUACUAAGAUCAAAGAAAGGUAUUGGUGGAAGGGUUUAUACAAAGAUGUAGAAGACUUUGUAAGUUCAUGCACAGAGUGCCAACUACAAUCUAAGAUUAGGUAUAGAGAUGGAUUACAUCCUACUUAUCCACCUUCUAUACAUUUUCAAUGGGUAAUUGAUUUGGUAGCUAUGCCUUCAGGAUUAUGGGAUAUGAAAUAUUUGAUUUUAGCAAGAGAAAAGUUAUCAAACUAUGUUGAAGGAAGAGCUUUGAGAACCAAGACCACGGAAGCAAUAUGCAGGUUUAUAUUAGAAGACAUCUUCAGUAGAUAUGGCUAUAUUGGGAGGAUGAGAGCUGAUAGAGGAGAAUUGGAUGCCAUAGAAGCAAGAGAUUUUUUCAAAAGGUAUGGAGUUCAAUUGAAGUUGACUACUUCUUAUAAUCCUGAAGCCAAUGGAAAGAGUGAAAGAGAUCAUCCUCCAAUUAUUUAUGCAUUGGUUAAGGCAUGUAAGGGUAAAUCAAUUCAAUGGCCUAAACUGCUUUCAUUUGCUUUAUGGGCUGAUAGAACUACUCAUAGUACUGUCACUAGUUAUAUGCCUAUGGAAUUAAUGCUAGGACAAAAACCUAUAAUGCCUGUUGAAGCAACCUAUCCUACAUGGAUGUUUUUGUCUUGGGAAGAUAACAUUAAUAGAGAAAGGUUAUUAGAGCUUCGAAUCCAACAGUUAAGAAGAUUACUUGAGGACCUACAAAUUGCAGCUGAGAGGUUAAAAGAAGCAAGAUUAAAAAAUAAAGAGAGGUUUGAUAAGACUCAUAGGUUAAGGCCUAAACCUAUAGAGAUUGGAGAUUGGGUUCUAGUUUAUGAUAGCAGCCUUGAGCAUCAACAUAGUACUGUAAAGAAAUUUGCAAAAAAAUAGAUUGGACCAUAUGUGGUGGUUAUAGUCCAUGAUAAUGCCACAUAUACCUUACGAAAGUUAGAUGGAGCUAUCAUUAGAAUUCCAAUAGCAAUGAAGAGGGUGAAGGCUUUCAAAAGAAGAGAUGGGCGGUUUCAAAUAGAAGAUCUUGAAGAAUUCUUACCUCAAUAUUUGGACCAAGAACAUGAAGAAGAAGACUCUAUGAGUGAUUCUAAGAAGUCUCAAGAGGAUGAAGAAGAGUAGUAUGUGGCACAUACCGGAGGAUGUGCAGGUUUGGAGGGGGUGGAUGUCGUACUGUAAUUACUUACAGUAUGUAAAAAUUAGUGAAAACAUGUAAUAAGUUUGUAAGUCUUAAUGUGAGUUAGAAUAGUUAGUAUGUUAAUUUAAAAUGAAUUGAAAUAAGAAAAAUUAUUUGGAAGUUAAUCUAGUUUGAUCAUAGAGUUUAUAUUAUAUAGGAUUUAGAUAGUUAGUAUAAAGAUUAAGGGAAGGGAGGAGUUAAAAGAUGAAAAUAUAACUAGAAGGAGGCUUAUUGGGAAGGAUGAAAGUAAGGCAUGGUUGGAUGAAGGCAAGGGGUGAAGAACUUCAUCCCUAUUGGUCGAAAACCAUGCCCAAUGGGCUUUGAGGGGGCUGCCCGAGGCCAUAUUAGGAAUUAGGGUUCCUCUUUCGAGGCCAUUCGAGCUUUUGAGGCUAGAGUCAGAAGGUUUAGGGUUUUGGGUAUAAUUUGGGUGAAGAUUUUGUGUGAUUUCGAGUUUUUAUGGAAAAGAUAUGAAUGUUCAAAGAUAAGGUGUCAAUUUCGUACCUACUGUCACUUCUUUUGGGCAUCACAUACGAAUACGGAGAGCAACGGAAGAUCGACGACUAGAUUUGGAGGAAGCAUUUUCUCGGCUACACAUUCUACUUACUGUAUAGUGAAUUCUAAGAUUGGGUGAAGGUGUUAUGAGGCGUUGAAGACAGCACUUGUACUUUGAAGGCAGUAAGUAUAUCGUUUUGUUGCUAGUUAUGGGUGAAGCCAUAUCUUGAGUUUCUGGACGAAUUUUUGGCUCAAAAUUUCCACAAGUGUGUGUAAUUGGGUUAAAAAGCUUUAGAUCAAAGUUUCAUAGUAUUUGAAUAAUUAAUUUGUGAGAUAUAAAGGAAGUUGUACACGGGUGUAAAAAAGCUAGGGUUUGAAGCUAUAGUUAGGGUUUUCAAGAUAUCACAAAAUCCAAGACGAAUUUACGGUUGAAUUUUGGUGUGGUAGUUGCUAAAGAUAUAUCAGUACUCUAUGUAAAAUUUGGAGUUGUUUAGACGGUUAGAUCGUAAGUUAUGAGCUGUUGAACUUCAGAAAAAAUUCCUCAUAAGGAUAUAUAAGUUUUUUAUAACACCUUAUCAAGUAUUUUGGUGUUCUUUGGAUUUUAAGGCUUGUAUAUUGAUGUAAUUGCUCCAAAGGAGAGGAGUUUAUAUAUAUAAAAUUGUUACCCUUAUAUUUCAAACUUGAUUGAGUAUUUAGUGACAGCCAGAAGCCCAGCGCUUUCUUGAGGCAAACUCUCUCUACCCCGACACUGUACUGCAUAUAAAAUUACUACCAAUGCUACCCCUUUCCAAUUGGUUUAUGGCCAGGAAGUAAUAUGAUCUAUUGAAUUGGAAGUCCAAAUUUUAUGAAUUGCUAUAGAUACUAGAUUAAGAGAUCAGGAUUCAUUACAAUACCGUUUAGAAGAAUUAGAAAAAUUUGAUGAAACUAGAGCCAAUGAAUUAAUGAUAAUAGAAACGAUACAAAAACAAAGGAAGACUUAUUAUGAUAGUAAGCUUAAACUAAAGGCUUUUAUGCCAAAUGAUUUGGUACUUCUUUAUGAUAGUCGAUUUAAAAAAUUUCCAAGAAAAUUUCAAGUUCGAUGAUAUGGGCCAUAUUGAGUUAUUGAAGGAUUUUCAAAUGGUUCAAUAUAAUUGGAAGAUUUUAUGGUACUAAGUUUACGACACGGAUCAAUGGCAAUCGGCUUAAACUUUACUAUCCUUAAACCCAGGAUGGGUUUAUGUUCCAAAAAGGGGAGUCGACUUUAUUGAUUGGACCAUAGUAAGAAGUAAGAGGAGGGCUCUUGAGAAGCAUCGUGUUUUCUUAUGUGGUUAAGGAGAAGAUGGCAAACAUGGUAUCUGAGACAGUAAGGAUGGAGAACGAUUGAAAGGAUCCGCAAGAACAGUUGCAAGUAGAGUUGCGGUGUUACAAAUUAAACUAGCUGCAUUAGUGAAGGAGGCGAAUAAAUUAGUGCAGAUCAAUACACCAGUUCCAGCGAUAAUACCUUUGGAGAUACCUUUGAAACCGACAGAAGAAUGGCAGAAGAUGUAAGAGGAGCAUGACAACCAAAUUGUCUGAUGUGAGUCUCAGGUAUGGAAAUUAGAUUUGUUGAAUGAAAUUCUGACGGCACGUUUGGAUGGAGAACCCUCGAAUAUUGAGACAGAUGAUAAAGAUAUAACACAGGAGAAUGUCACCAAUUCAAAGUGUGGUAAGCCAAUGCCAUUGACAGAAGAAGCCAACACUGCUAUGUCUUUAGAAGUUGAGGCUAAAUAAUGUUUGCGAGGAAGCUGCACAAUUAGAAGUGGCGCUAUGUAAAAUAGGUAAAUAAACUUUGUGAUAAGUUACUGGUUGGUUAUUAACAAUCUUGAGAAUUAGAUUGAUAUUUAGGCAGUUAAGUUGGUAAUAAUAGGUUAUUAGUAGAAUAAAUGAUUAAGAAUUCAAAGGGUCAUAACCUUUGAAAUCUGCUAGCUGACAGAUCAUCUUUUUGGUAGGAUAAAUAGAAUGAGAAUCGUAAGCCAAGAGCCAGAUUGUGAGAGUUGUAAGUCGAGAGCUAAAUUAUGAGAGUCGUAAGUCAAGAGCCAAACUGUGAGAGUCAUAAGCCGUAAGCCAGACUGUGAGCAUCGUAAGCCAGGGUAAGCUUGGUGCUACAUCUUUGUUUUCUUCAUAAUUUGCUUAUGAAGAAUUAUGAUUGACAGAAGUAUUGUUGAAUUGAUGAUCGUAGAAUGAAUUAUGGGUAGAAUUAAGAUGGAAGUAGUAAGCCUCGAUAUUUUAUAGUUUGAUACUUGAUUUCAGAUAGCUAGAAUAAAGUCAAUUAUGACACUCACAGACCCAAUUCAUAUAACUAGUCUUUCACUGUAUUCGAACCCACUUCUAUUAGUUCAAUUUCUUUGGUAUACUGAAGCUUUAAUGCAAUAAGAACAAUACGGAUAUUCACAUGUAAGCCAAUAAUCACAUGUAUAAAUAGAUAGAAGUAAGUAAAAAUAGGUAAAAAUAAAUUAAUUCUAUAGUAUUUAUUAUAAAAGCUUCCUAGAAGCUUCAUAAACACAGCUUUGACUUUAUAGGUGUCUUUAAUUGACUUUUUGGAUUAGAAACAUGGUCAACAAGUUGGCCAUGUGCCAUACAUAUUAUAAGCUUGAAGACUAAGCUAAUUAUGUGGCUCACAUGUCGAAAAACUUAUCUUCUAAGUCAAGGCAUGUGUCCUACAAAGUCAACACAUAUUGGAGGUCCUAUGGAAUUUCACCACGUAGCCCCUAGUUAGAUAGUAUAUAUAGAGACAAGAGUGAAGCCUUCUUCACUCUUGUCAAUUCUUUUCUUGCUUCCAGUUUAGUUUCAAGGGUCUCUAGUUUUCUUGAAUUUUUGGCAAUAGCCAUUCCAGUUUCUUUCUUAAUAUAUAUAUCAAGUCAUUUCUAUUUUGUCAUCUUUCUUUGAGAGAAGUCUCACUUUUUUAUUUGUCUUCAUCAUGUUCUUAUCCUUGACAGAUUCACAAGAGUACACUUACAAUAUCAGAGCUUUAUCUUUUUUUGAUUAACAGUGGAUUAUCCCUUUUUAUUGAUAAGACAUAAGCAUAUUAAGAGUUGCGGAUUACCUUCUUUUAAACUGAUAUUAUUUUUAGUAUUUUCUUUGUUCUCAAGUCCGUUCUCUUACUUGUCUUGAGCAAUAUUAGAAAUUUUUUUUUCUAGGUGUUAUCAUGGCAAAGCUUGUCAAAUUGAAGAGUAUAAUGACACAAAUGCAAGAAUAAUUGAGGCAAUUAAUGCUUGUGAUGCAUCAACUUAAUUCACCAAGAGGAAGAAGAAUAAGAAUAACAGAAAGUGGAGAUGUAGAGAUGGUCAAAGCUGCCUCAACAUCUACAUUGAAUCAUGCCUCUUGUUCCAUGGUGGAACACCAUUCAAAUAGUAGAGAACCAAGAAUUACCUUAUCCAAGAAAUUUGAUGGUAUGAGAUCAAAGUUUCGAAGAUUCAUCAAUCAAGUACAAUUGACAAUCAAACUUCAAUCCCAAAGCUAUUCAACUCCAAGAUCACAAGUCAGGUUUAUUGGAAGACUACUUUUCGGUUCUGCGUUAUCAUCGUUUUUAUCUUUUCUUGAACCACAAGAUCCAAUAUUGGAUAAUUUCAAAGCUUUCUUGGUGGAAUUUUGAUCUAUGUAUAGAGAACAUGAUACAGUUCAUGUUGCAACAAAUAAGAUCCGUAUCUUGGGACAAAGAAAUCGAUCUGUAACAAUAUAUGCUUCAUAAUUUUGACAACUUACAAUUGAUACCAAGUCGGAUGAUAUUGCACUCAUUAACCAAUUCCUUCAUGGACUACAAUAUGAGGUAAAAAAAUUGAUGCUCAAGUUACCCGAUCCUGAAACAUUGAGUCAAGCAAUUGAUUUUGCUAUAAAAUGUGACAAUCGACUUUUUGAAUUUUGAUAUGAGAAUCACAUAAGUAGGCCUCAACAUUAAUACAAUUCAAUGGCAACACCUACGUCUUUCUAACACAUAUCUUCAAAAAUAAAAGAUAUGCAAAUCAAUACAAUAUAUUUCAAACAUCUUACUGAACAAGAAAAGACUCGUCGUCCUCAAGAAAGAUUAUGUUUAUAUUAUGGAGAACCAAAAUACACUGCUCAACAUUUUUCAAAAAAAUGACACAACCACAAAAUGAGGACUAUGGCUGUCAAAGAAGACAAUAUGUCUAAAACGAAUUUGUCUAGCUAUAAUAGGGACCGUUGUUGUGUUAUAACAUGAGUAUACUGUGAAAAUAUAAAGAAAGGGGACUUUUGUUAAUGUUCAAUUACCUCGAAUAUUGGGAGCAACAACCAAUUCCAGUGCAAGUACUAAGAGGUCAGGUUCAGUCACCCCGUUACAGUCAGAUGGGACUUACUAAAAUGCUCCAUUCGAUUCCAAUAAUGGGAGUCAGUAGAAAGGAAAAGGACCAAUUUAACGACGAGUGUGCCUGGUUCGAAGAGCCAAUUGGAUCCAAUUUCAAGACAUCGAAUCCAGGUCUUACUACGGGCCUCUUAGCCAAUCUGACGUGAAGGACCAAUUUGACCCAAUUACGGGAACAUCCAAGUCUUACGACGGGCCUCUUAGCCAAUAUGAGACCUGAAUUGGUCGAGCGACUCAAUGUGGUCCCGAUUACGGGGGUUCCGAUUCCGUUUCAGGUUGUUCCAUCUUUUGUGCCGUUCCGGGAACGUCCUUUCGAUAAAAGGAUCUCUUAAAGGUAAAAACGGGGCAGAAGCUCUGACGGCGGAGCCAAUUCCAGAUCCAAGACGGCGGAUUGAAGAAAUUCAGAGGCUAGGGUUUGAAAGACGGGAGAAUUAGGGUUAAAGGAGAGGAUAGGUUAAGAAAUAGAAGGGAAGAGAAAAGUUUUUUUAGAAGGGUCGGGGAGAGCUUCAGGCUUCGGGCAGGGAAAAAAGACAGAGGAUUGGGGUUUUUUUUCUUCAUAGGGUUUUUGAAAGACUGAGGCAAUCGCUGCUGAAGUCAGUGUUGUACUGGUGAAUCGGGAUUUUAAUGAAGUGGGUGUAAUUACUCUUGACUGUUUUAUGAAAUCGAGUUACGUCUGUGAUGAAGAAUUAAAAGGGUGUCUAAAGGAUUGAGUAUGCAGAAUGAAUGAAAUUUAUUGGAUUAAUGUAACGAGACAAUCAGUGGUUACAAGAUCGUGAGUAUAAAGCGGUAUCGAAGAUUAGCAGUUUGGGUUGUUCGGGAUUCUCCGUAACGUCUAGAGACCUACCGGCUGGAGCAAAAAGGAUUUCGACGAGCAGUUGAAGGACAUCCAUAUAGAUUUAUGAUAUAUUCUUAUAGUUAUUUAUAUUCCAACAGUCAAAAACCAAUAAACUACUUAAAUAUUAGCGAAUCUCCAUACUACCUUCUAUAGUCAAACGCCCGACACAUUCUUGAGUAAGAAAGCACGUAAUACGACAGAAGUGGUGAACUCGACGUGAAAGCUUAAGGUGGAAGGUAUUGGAUUUCGUUUGAUUCUAUUUUUAUUUUUAUGGAAAACGAAAAUAAAAAUUUUGAAGGAUCUUUAGGAGGAGUUUUUCGUGGGGAGUCUUCUAAAGGACAAGGUAUGUACAUGGAUCCGUCUAUUGCUAGUAUGUUUCAAGCCUUCUCAUUAUCAAUGCAGCAACAACAAAGCAAUGAUCGAAAGAAAGCUUUGGCAACCAAAGCAUUGCAAGCAGUGGUCAAUAAAAUUGAUCAAUUUGAUGGAAGGAAUAUUUUAAGGUAUUUAAGAUGUUAUAUUCGUGAAAUGGAAUUAAAUCGGAUUUUUGAGAAGAAAAUGGUUGAAUUAUUUGGAUUUGCCACGAUACCGGAGAUAGGAGACCAUAUUACAUCGAUUAUAGAUCGUUAUGGAAAUUCAUGGGAGGUUUUUUCACAUGCAUUGAAAGAUGAAUAUUUCUUGGAAGAUGCUGAUCGCAUUACUAAGAAGUUGUUUCUGGAAUGGAUUGAAUGGCCUAAUAAGAAUUUACAAGCAACAGAGCUACUAAUGGAAUUUGAGAGGCAGUACUCUCAAUUAUCGAAGGUAGAAAAAUUGACAUUGGAGUCGAACAAAGUUGAUCUAUUUCUACGAGCUGCUGAUGGAAAAUUGCAAGGAAAAUUAGAACUCCUUCUUAAAGAUAAAGAAGAAGAUGAAGGAUUGACAAUAAAGUGGAAGAACGUUGAUGAUGCGGUGGGGUUGCUUACAAAAAGAGAAAGGAGGAAGGAUAGGAGCAAUAUUCCAAAAACAGUACAAGCACCCAAAGCUCCAGUACGUACAACACCACCAACAAUGCCUACAGUUCAACCUUCGACAUCCUUAUCAAAGAAAGCAGAUAUGGAGAUGGAAGAAAUUAUACGAGGAAUGUGAGAUCUUCAAAUCAAAUUGGCAAGACUUGAAGAGAAUACUUCUGCAAAUAAUUUGAAGAAUUUUUCAAAACAAAGAUAUGUACAAAGAUGCAUUUGGUAUGAUGAUGCUUCAUACACUAGAAAAGAUUACAAUGAAUUUAAUAAUAUGAUACGACAAGGAAUUAUUUGCUAGAAAGAUGGAAAGAUAGCAUUAAAAGAUAGGGAGGAUCUUCUUCAAACCAAUUUUGGCAAGGGAGGAAUGAGAGCAUUGGUUCAAGAUUACUUAAAAGAGCAUGAAACAGCAGCACGAGAAAGUGCAAGUUAUGGUGCUAGAGUAGAUGACGACCUUGGUGGAAGUACGAAAACUAGUGAGUUUUGGACUUCUGCCAUUUUUAUAAUGUAAGAAGGGAAAUUACCUCGAGAAGCGUUAUUGAGGAUUGCAGCUACAAUACGAGGUGCAACAGGUUGGGAGGAUCUUGUUGAAUCUCUUUCAGUUCAUGCAUAUAUUGCUAAGAGCCAACAUGAAGCUUUGAUGGAAGAAAAGAGAUAAGGAAAUUUUGAUAAUACGAGAGAAGGAAAUUCUUCUAAGAGGCAAACUCGAGGAGACAAGGCUCGGGAGGCAGCUUCACAAGAAUUGUCUGUAAAGGAUACCUCAGCAUCAUUGGAAGAAAAAACAAUGGAGACAAAAGAUAAGAACAAAUCAAUUGCUUAUAAGCUACUUUCUGACAUUGAAGCGACAACAAAUUUGAAAGGGGUGUUGGAAGAACGUAUAUUAAAUGCUAAAGUGGAAUUCACAUUGAAAGAAGUCUUGAAAAUUGUAAAGAAGGAGUUUCAUGACGUUAUCAUUGAUAGCAUUAAGUGAAAAAAGCAAUUAAUGGACGGAACUGGAAUGAGUCAUGCUAUUGAUGCAAGAACAUAUAAAGAUGAAGAAGAGGUUGAUAUUGGUUAGAAGCAAGCAAAAAUUGAAAAGAAUGGAUAUAAUCAACGAGUACGUUUCGAAGAUUAUAGUGAUAAAGAAAUGGAAACUUUGAGUCAUUAUACUCAAAAGCAUUGGACAAGGGCAACUAUUGAGGUAUUGGUGAAAAUAGGAGAUAUAGAAGAACCAAUUGUUGCUUUAGUCGACCAUGGUUUUGAAAUAAAUCUCAUGUCUAAAGAUCUUUAUAAGGAGCAAAAAUGGCCAAUUGAUAUGGAACAUGGAUGGGCAAUAUGAGCAGCUAAUAACACAUGGGGCGAAUUAUAUGGAGCUUGUCCAGAUGUCAAAAUUUGGAUUGGAGAUGUUGCGAUAGAGCAACAUUUUUUUGUUCAAGAUACAACGUCUUAUCCAUUGAUUUUAGGACAACCUUAUAUUACGACAACUCGGAUGGAAAUAAAAGUAUUUGAUGAUGGUUCUGCUUAUGCAAGGGUACUUAGCAAAGAUGGGAGGAAAGCUGUACAAUUUCUAACAGUACCUCCUAAUCAUAAACGGAAUCGAGAUAGGUUGAGGGAGAAACCAUUGCCAAAGAUUGUUGAAGGAUUUAAGGAUUUCGAGAGGUACCACUGUAAAGCGAGAUUAUGGAGGUACAAAAGAGGAGGUACUCUCGCGAGAUGAAGGUGCCUUUGAUGCGAGUUUUAUUGAUAUUUUGGAGAAUAGAAAUAUUAUGUAUAAAAAAGUUGAUGAUUUUAAAAGAAAAGAAAGAAAAAGAUUAUAUGAUAUUGAAGGAGAAUUACGCAAGUUAGGUACGCAGCAAGAAGAUGAAAGUGAUUUAGAUAAUGAAGGUCACGAAGACGAACUGGAGAAAGAUGUAGAGAAUAUAUUCUAAAUCAAACAACAGUUGGAUAAAUUGGUGCAUACCGGAGGAUGUACAGGUUCAGAGGGGGUGGAUGUCGUGUUGUAACACGAAUAUAUCGUGAAAAUAUAAAGAAAGGGGACUUUUAUUAAUGUUCAAUUACCUCGAAUAUUGGGAGGAAUAACCAAUUCCAGUGCAAAUACUGAGAGGUCAGGUUCAAUCACCCCGUUACAGUCAGUCGGGACAUAUUGAAAUGCUUCGUUCGAUUCCGAUACUAGGAGUCAGUAGAAGAAAAAGGACUAAUUCAACGACGAAUGAGCCUGGUUUGAAGAGCCAAUUGGAUCCAAUUUCAAGACAUCUAAUCCAGGUCUUACUACAGGCUUCUUAGUCAAUCUGACGCCAAAGACCAAUUUGACCCAAUUACGGGAACAUCCAAGUCUUACUACGGGCCUCUUAGCCAAUAUGAGACCUGAAUUGGUUGGGCGACUCAAUGUGGUCCCGAUUAUGGAGGUUUCGAUUCUGUUUUAGGUUGUUCCAUCUUUUGUGUUGUUUCGGGAACGUCCUUUUGGUAAAAGGAUCUCUUAAAGGUAAAAACGGGGGAGAAGCUCUAAUGGCGGAGCCAAUUCUAGAUCGAAGACAAAAGAUUGAAGAAAUUCAGAGGCUAGGAUUUGAAAGAGGGGAGAAUUAGGGUUAAAGGAGAGGAUAGGUUAAGAAAUGGAAGGGAAGAGAAAAGUUUUUUUAGAAGGAUCGGGGAGAGCUUCAUACUUCGAGCAGAAAAAAAAGACAGAGGAUUGGGGUUUUUUUUCUUCAUAGGGUUUUUGAAAGACUGAGGCAAUCGUUGCUGAAGUCAGUGUUGUACUGGUGAAUCGGGAUUUAAAUGAAGUGGGUGUGAUUGCUCUUGACUAUUUUGUAAAAUCGAGUUACGUCUGUGAUGAAGAAUUAAAAGGGUGUCUAUAGGAUUGUAUAUGUAAAGUGAAUGAAAUUUAUUGGAUUAAUCUAACGAGACAGUCAAUGGUUACAAGAUCGUGACUAUAAAGCGGUAUCGAAGAUUAGCAGUUUGGGUUGUUCGAGGUUCUCUGUAACGUCUAGAGACCUACCGGUUGGGACAAAAAGGAUUUCGACGAGCAGUCGAAGGACAUCCAUAUAGAUUUACGAUAUAUUCUUAUAGUUGUUUAUAUUCCAACAAUCAAAAACCGAUAAACUGCUUGAAUAUUAGUGAAUCUCCAUACUACCUUCUACAGUUAGACGCCCGGCACGUUCUCGAGCAGAAAAGCACAUAAUAUGACACCGUGCAGCUGGAACCUUGCACAACAUCUAAUAAAGGUCUUAUUCUCUCCUCAAAACCCUCUCCUUGUUUUACAUUAAAUGUUAAUCUAGGACCUUUACAUUACAAAGCCUUUGCCUUGUUAGAUUAAAUGUUAUUCUAGGACCUUUACAUUACAAAGCCUUUGCCUUGUUACUAUUCAAGUCGAUUUCUUAGGUUACAUCAUUUCAAAUGAUGGACUUAUGAUGGAUCCUGAGAAAGUUCAAACUAUUAUAGAUUGAAAGAUCCCAAAAAUGGUAAGAGAUGUCCAAUGCUUUUUGGGAUUUGCCAACUACUAUUGGAUCUUCAUCAAAGACUUCUCUCAAGUUGCAGCUCUACUUACACGUUUGACUUGUAAAGACAAACUCCAAUGGAAUCAAGAAGUGUAAGUUGCUUUAGAAUCUUUGAAGACAGCGUUUCUUUUUGCACCAAUCUUGUAUCGUGUUGAUUUUUUUAAAGUAUUCUUUAUGGAAAUAAAUACAUCAAACUUUGCUCUAGGUACAAUUUUGUCACAAAUGGGAACUUAUGAUAAACUUUAUCCAGUAGCCUUUCAUUCAAAAAAAUUCUCAACUGCAGAAAUUAAUUAUGAAAUCCAUGACAAAGAACUUAUUGCAAUUGUGGAUUCCUUUCAAGGAUGGCGUCAUUAUCUAGAAGGCCUUUCCACUCCAAUCACCGUAUAUAUGGAUCAGAAGAACCUCGAGUAUUUCAUGUCAGCAUGCAUAUUAAAUCAUCGUCAAACUUGUUGGAGCAUGUCUUUAUCAAGAUUCGAGUUCAUCAUCACUUAUCGGCCAGGAAAACAACAAGGUUUGUCUGAUGCCUUGUCUAGACAUUCUUAUCUUGUACCAAAAGAAGGAGAUACAGCUUUUGAGCAACAAAGAAUGGUUCUCUUGAAAUCGGAGCAAUUUCAUCUUCGAGUAAUAAAAUCAACAUUGACUGUUGAUUUAACUUUUCUCAAGCAAGUCUAGUUAAGUAUGUCUUCAGACCCUCUUGUUCAUGAUAUCAAGAAUAAUUCUUCUAAAUCUCAUGAUCCCUCUAAAUUCAAGUUCAACAAUAACCUACUCUAUUUCAAAAGACGCCUUUAUGUUCCAGAACGAGAAGCAUAUUUAUGUAUUCUUCAAGCUCAUCACGACUUUCCAGCAGCAGGAUAUUUUGGAUACAGUAAGACUUUGGAGCUAAUAUCUAGGGAUUUUUGGUGGCCUCAAAUGUGAAAGGCAGUCAAAGGUUUUGUACAAUCAUGUGAUGUUUGCUCAAAAUCAAAAACUCCUCGUUAUCGACCUUUUAGACUUUUUCAGCCAUUACCUAUUCUAGAACAACCAUGGUCUUUUAUUUCUAUGGACUUUAUUACGGAUCUUCCAAUCUCAGGUUCUUAUGACUCUAUAUUUGUGAUAGUAGAUCAUUUUAUCAAGAUGGAAUAUUUUGUACCAUGUAUAAAAUCUAUCAUAGGUGAAGAAAUAGCUAAGCUCUUUCUUAAGAAUAUCUGUCGCUAUCAUGGAUUAUUCAAGGAUAUUAUAUUAGAUAGGGGAACUCAAUUUGUAUCAAGAUUUUCGCGGACUCUUUCCAAGAUUCUAAAAGUGGAUGUAAAACUAUCUUUGACAUUCCAUCCUCAAAUUGAUAGACAAACGGAACGUGUUAAUCAAGUUUUGGAGCAAUAUUUAACAUGUAAUAUUAACUACCAAGAAGAUGAUUGGACAACUCUUUUGCCAAUAGCAGAGUUUGCUUACAAUAAUACGAUACAUUCUUCUACAAAACAAAAAACUUUCUUUGGUAAUUAUGGUUAUCAUCCAUGACUUGAUACUUUUGACUUUUCAAAAGUUGGUAAUCUUGUUGCAAAAGAUUUGACAAUUCAUUUAUCAAAGCUACAUGCAAUGAUGAAGGCGUAGUUAAAAGAAGCUCAAGAACAACAAAAGAUCAAUGUGGAUGUCUAUCAAAAGGAACAACCACCAUUUCACAUGGAUGAUAAGGUAUGGUUACUUUGUUGCAAUAUCAAGACCACUCGUCCUUGUGACAAGUUGGACUAUCAAAGGCUUGAACCAUUUUUUAUUUUUGCUCAAAUCAAUCCAAUUACAUAUCGUUUACAUUUAUCGGAGUCAAUAAAAAUCCAUCUAGUAUUCCACAUGUUUCUUCUUGAACUCUGCAAGACAGUGGAUAUAUCAAGAAGAAGACAAGCUCUACCUCCUUCUAUAGAAGUGGACAAUAAUAAAGAGUUUGAAAUGGAAGAAGUCUUAGAUUCAACGCGGGGCCGUAAUAAAUUAGAAUAUCUUGUCCAUUGGUGUGGAUAUGAUAUUAGUGAACGUACAUAGGAGCCAGUAAAAAAUCUUAUAAAUGCAGCAAAGGUGGUGGAGGCUUUUCAUCAACGACAUCCAUCAAAAUCAAGAUAAAAAUCUUAUUUAUAAAAGAAACAAGAUCUAGGUGAGAUAACAUUCUACUUUCAAUCCUUGUUUGUAGCUUCUUUGUAAUUAUAAUGCUAUUGUGUUGUAAAACAACUAUAUGGUGAAAAUAUAAAUGAAAAAGAUAUUAUUAAUAUUUUGUCAUCUAGGAUGUUAGAUACAGUGGCCAAUCCAGUGCCAAUAUUCAAAGGUAGUUAAUAUCACUCCACCGGUGUCGUGUUGUAACACGAGUAUACUGUGAAAAUAUAAAGAAAGAAGACUUUUAUUAAUGUUCAGUUACCUCGAAUAUUGGGAGCAACGACCAAUUCCAGUGCAAAUACUGAGAGGCUAGGUUCAGUCACCCCGUUACAGUCAGCCGGGGCUUACUGAAAUGCUCCGUUCGAUUCCAAUAACGGGAGUCAGUUGAAAGGGAAAGGACCAAUUCAACGACGGGUGAGCUUGGUUCGAAGAGUCAAUUGGAUCUAAUUUCAAGACAUCCAAUCCAGGUCCUCUUACCCAAUAUGAGACCUAAAUUGGUCGGACAACCCAAUGCGGUCCAAUUGCAGGAACAUCAAGGUCUUACUACGAGGUCUUACUAUGGGCCUCUUAUCCAAUAUGAGACCUGAAUUCGUCGGGUGACUCAAUGUUGUCCUGAUUAUAGGGCUCCGGUUCCGUUUCAGGCUGUUCCGUCCUUUGUGCUGUUCCGGGAACGUCUUUUUGGUAAAAGGAUCUCUUAAAGGUAAAAAUAGAGGAGAAAGCUCUAACGACGGAGCCAAUUCCGGAUCUAAGACAGAAGGAGCCAAUUCGGGAUCGAAGACGAAAGAAGCCAAUUUUGGAUCCAAGACGGAAGGAGCCAAUUCCAGAUCCAAGACGGAAGAUUGAAGAAAUUCAGGGGCUAGGAUUUGAAAGAGGGGAGAAUUAGGAUUAAAGGAGAGGAAGGUUAAGAAAUGGAGGGGGGAGUUUCAAAUCGGAUUUCUGGAUCGAAGAGCUAGCUUCAAGCUCUUUUCAAGGUCACUAGUUUUGUUUCAUUAGGGUUUGUGAGGGGAGAGCAAUCGCUCCUCAAAAUCAGUGUUUAUUUUGGUGUUUUGGAUUUUAUAUAAAACAUUGAUAGUUUACAUUCUCAAUCGGUUUGUGCAAGUCGUGUAGCAUCUAUAGGUCAAAAUUUGGUAUUGUCUGGAUAGUUGGGUGUGAUAAGUGUAUACAAAAAUUUGUGUUAAUCUAACGAUGCAAUCAAGAGAUAUCUGGGUUUUAGUACAAAGGGUUGUUGGAAGUUGGUAGUCUAGGGUUGGAUAGGGUUUCUCUGAUAUUUGAAGGUCUACCAAUUGGAUCAACGUAAUUUUUGGCUUGGUAAUAGAAGAUUUGGAGAUCAAGCGGCUAUUCAAUUUUGAGCUGGAGUUAAUGGUUGACAAAGGAGAAAUCACUUCUCGAGUUUCUACAUCAAAUUUCAAGGUUGCGGCUGAGUGUUAUCAGUGCGGUUUUUUGGACGUUUUCUUGCAAUCUAUAAGUUGGGUUGGGCUGAAAUUUUUUGAGCAUAUAGAAGGCUUAUACUGGUAUUUGGGUGCAAAAUUUCACACUAAGUGGACGGUUGGAUCAAAAGUUACAGCUUGUCAAAGCUCAUUGGCUAGGAUUAAGGCUUGUUAAGAAAAACAAAAAUAACUUAAUUAUAAAAGAAAUAAAGCAAUUGGAAUAUUGUAUGGUUAAAAUGACUAUGAAGAGUGUUUUUAAAUACUUGGAAAUUGAUAUUUUAAUUAUAUUCUUCAUACAUGGAUAAAAUCUAUCAAGGUUUCUUUGUUAUUUGCAAAAACAACUAUACCUUCCACAGCCAGAUAUCCAGUGUAUUCCCGAACAAGACAACAUGUAAUACGACAUCGGCAUCAUCAAACCAAGUACCUUCUGUACCAAUGGGAUAAUCAGGAUCAUUUUCCAACCCUAUAUGGAACAAGUCUAGUAGGUAUAUACUGGUAGAGACACCCAAUUUGUAUGAUGGGGGUGCAGGAAGACCACUUCGUCAUUUCCAUUGCAGACAAGUUGGUUAUUAUGUUAGUGAAUGUUUCAAUCCCAAAGCCAGUGAUGAUUAUGCAGUAGUGUGAAGGAAUUGCAAGAAAUCGAGGCAUACUGAUUAGCAAUGUGAUGCUCCAUCCAAUUUCAAUAAAUGAGAUCAGUAGAUCCAAAGUCCAGAAAAAUUGAAAGAAAUAAAUCAAGGUCCUCUAUAAUAUCUGGAGAUCUACUAUCUAGAAUAAGGUGACUUUUAGCAUGAUAAAUCGAGGACUUUUAGGCGAUAGUCAAGAUACAUCAAUGUGGAUUAACGGUAUUUUUUUGCAACCUAUAAGUUAGAUUGGAUUGAAACUUCUUGAGUAUUUAGAAGGCUUGCAAAGAUACUAGUGGUAGAAAUUUACAACAAUCAGACAGUUAGAUUGAAAAUUACAGCUUGCUAAAGCUCGCUCUCUAGAGUUAGGAUUAAAAAAUAAAAUAAAAUAAAAUAAUAAAUAAAUAAAUAAACAAAAAAAUAAAAACUAACAAAUAACAAAAGACUUUGUGCUUAUAAUAUCUUCAAGUUAUUAAAAAUAUUAUUUCUAAAUACUUUGUAUUGGGAUUAAGCUUUUACAUUGAAAUCCAAAAUAAUUUGUAAUAGAUGGUUGAAACCCACUAGCCUACCUAGAUACUUGUAAAUCAUUAUUUUAUCUUCCAUAGCUACAUGCCUGAUGCGUUCUCAAGCAAGAUAGCAUGUCAUAUGAAAACACUUAGAAGAUGGAGAACCAACAACCAGCGGAUUUGACUCAAUAGCCUUCGUUUACUAACUUAUCAGACAAGACAUUACAAUUGUCACGACCUUCAAGACGAUGCAAUUGAGAUGAAGAUCUUUAAGAAUAAUAUGUUCUUCUUCGAAUAGAUAUCAAGAUAGAAUGCGUUUGAUAUCACGACCUUGGAAGGGACUCUUGAUGUUUGGUGAUUUUACUAGAGGUAGGAAUAAUUCUUGAUGGUGUUCCAAAUAUUUUAUUCGAAGGAAGUUAUGAAGGCCUCAACAAUGAUCAAAUAACUGGAUGGUCUUCUUGCCCUGGUAUGGGAUACUACCGAUAGUUGAGAGGCCCUAUCAAUCAUCUUCAAAGAGAACAAAGUUCAAAGUAUGUAGCGAAUACAAUUCGUCACAUCAUAGAUUUCCUCAACAUAUGAUUAUCUCUCCUCGUGGAACUCGUCCGUUGAAGAAAGGAGUAAUGUCAUGGACAUACACAUAUAAGCCAAUAACUACAUGUAUAAAUAGGUAGAAAUAAAUAAAAGUAUGUAAAAGUAAGUUAAUUCUAUAAUAUUUACUAUAAAAGCUUCUUAGAAGCUCCAUAGAUACUGCUUUGACUUUAUAGAUGUCUUUAAUUGACUUUUUGGAUUCAAAACGUGGUCAACAAGUUGGCCAUGUACCACACAUGGUGUUAGCUUGAAGACCAAGCUAACUAUAUGGCUGACACGUAGAAAAACUUGCCUGGUAAGUCAAGGCAUGUAUCCUACAAAGUCAACACAUAUUAGAGGUCCUAUAGAACGUCGCCACGUAGCGUCUAGUUAGAUAGUAUAUAUAGAGACAAGAAUGAAGCCUUCUUCACUCUUGUCAACUGCUUUUUUGCUUCCAGUCUAGUUUCAAGGGUCUCUAGUUUUCUUGACUUUUUGGCAAUAGCCAUUCUAAUUUCGUUCUUAAUAUAUAUAUCAAGUUAUUUCUAUUUUUUCAUCUUACUUUGAGAGAAGUCUCACUCGUUUAUUUGUCUUUAUUGCAUUCUUUUCCUUAAUACUUAGAGGCUUUAUGUAUACAGAUAUAAUUCUUUAUGUAUUUAUAGUUUAAAAUUUGAUCAACAAGUUGUCUGCAUAUUGCACAUAUUAACAACUUGAAGAAUAAGUUGGUCAUGUAGCACUCAUAUAUGAAACUUACUAUGCAAAUUAAACAUGUGACUUACACGAUAAAAAAUUGUUGAAGGUCUUAAAGAAUGUUAUCAUAUAGUUCCUAAGUAUAUUUUACAUAUGGAAAAAAAAGUAAAGUCUUUUUUACUCUUGUGAAUAAAUAUUUAAAAUUAAGCUCAAUUUUUUUGGAGUAGUGGAUCGCUUCAAAGCACAUCUUGUGGCAAAUAAAUUCAACCAACUUCUAGGCUUAGGCUACAAUAAAACCUUUUUUAAUAGUCAUUUGCAUACAAUCAAUUUGACUCAUGUUUGCUUUAGCAGUUCAACUUGAUUUCUAUGUACAUCAAAUGAACAUUAAAAUAACAUUCUUAAAUAGAUCUAUUUAAGAAGAAAUAUAUAUAUAUAUAUAUAUAUAUAUAUAUAUGUAAAGAUCUUAAAUAAAGUCAUUUUUUUACAACUUGGUAUGGUGUGACCCCUUCACAAAACCAUUUAUGAAUUAAAACAAUCACCCAAGGAAUAGUUCAAGAUAAUCAAUACAUUUCUCAGCUUAUACAAAUCACUCUCAGCUUGUAAAUUGGAAUUAAAUAAAUCACUCUCAGCUUGUAAAUUGGAAUUAAAUAAAUCACUCUCAGCUUGUAAAUUGGAAUUAAAUAAAUCACUCUCAGCUUGUAAAUUGGAAUUAAAUAAAUCACUCUCAGCUUGUAAAUUGGAAUUAAAUAAAUCACUCUCAGCUUGUAAAUUGGAAUUAAAUAAGUCACUCUCAGCUUGUAAAUUGGAAUUAAAUAAAUCACUCUCAGCUUGUAAAUUGGAAUUAAAUAAAUCACUCUCAGCUUGUAAAUUGGAAUUAAAUAAAUCACUCUCAGCUUGUAAAUUGGAAUUAAAUAAGUCACUCUCAGCUUGUAAAUUGGAAUUAAAUAAAUCACUCUCAGCUUGUAAAUUGGAAUUAAAUAAAUCACUCUCAGCUUGUAAAUUGGAAUUAAAUAAAUCACUCUCAGCUUGUAAAUUGGAAUUAAAUAAAUCACUCUCAGCUUGUAAAUUGGAAUUAAAUAAAUCACUCUCAGCUUGUAAAUUGGAAUGAAGAUGGUUAGAGAAGAGUUGUGCAUAUUGGAUGAAAUGUGAGAAGGUUAUGUGUUGGAAAGGAGUGCUUAAUCAUUGAAAUGGCAUUUGCUGCAUGGAAAUGGAAUGAGCCGAAGGAGGUUCGCAUCGAAAGAACUGGAGAAUGGGGUAAUUCAAGAGAAGGGAAAAUCGAGAAGGGGGGCGCGGGGCACGAAAACGAGAGUGCGGAAGGGGAGGAGAAACAAUGGGCAGCGGAGUCGUCAACUGCAGGAUUUGAACCUGCGCGGGGAAACCCCAGCAGAUUUCGAGUCUGCCGCCUUAACCACUCGGCCAAAUUGACACGCGCCACAAUCUACAAUUCCGGCGACCCACGACCAUGCUGGGGAUCGAACCCAGAAUCUCUUGCUCCGUAGGCAAGCGCCUUAUCCAUUGGGCCACACGGUCAGCGCCCCUCGACCGACCACAAUCAGACCCCCCCGCUCAGGGUGGGCCAGGGGCGAAGCGAACUAGGGAGGCCGCAGGGUAGUCACCAUUUCCUUCGGGAGUUUGAACCCGACGUGAAUCGAACACGCAACCUUCUGAUCUGGAGUCAGACGCGCUACCAUUGCGCCACGGAUCCCACGGCGAUGCACGUCUCUCAUCCGGUUCUCAAUAUCAACCCAAUCCCGCCCCAGGCACCACUCACCGCCGCCCCCUCUGACCCCGCUGAGUGGCCCAUGCGCCGUCGCAAAUCCCUUGCCCCCUUCCCCCAGCGCUCCCUUUCCACCGGAUUCUGUCCCGGCUUUCGGUCCUGGGACUGCUUUUGUCCCUCGUUCCCUCCGCGCCACCCCUGGCUGCCUUGACGGAAUCCAUGUAUUUGGCUCCAUCCUGGCUGUAAUCCCACUCCCAGAUGCGCCCACUGUCCAGGUCUCACCAUCACCUUCUUUUCCUCGGAGCCGUUUCUGCAUUUGCCGCCGCUGCGCUCCACCAUGGUUGGGAUGGACCACGCUCCUUCCACGAGCCCCCAAACGUUCACUCCAAUCACCCCACGCAUUCUCAACUCCGCUCUCCGGUCAUGUCAACAACUGUGCACACAUUCAAACAGCUCUAUCCAAAAGGUGACCUUCCUCUCUGUUGACAACACCCCGUUCCACAUGAGGUGACCCGCUCAACCACACCGCUCCGUUGCCCCCAACACCUCCCGCAGUCGCUCACUCCUUCCUCCGACAUCACAAGUGAUGCACACAGCGCACAUCAUCAUCCGCGGGCAAUUCGAGGAUAUGCAACUAGCGUGUCCGUCUAACCAAGUUUAUUGACUGUUUAUGGAGCAUUUGGUUACAUCAAUCGUAUUAAGUGGACAUGUUCAAUCACAUGCUGGUCGUUACAUCGAACCUGAUUUGUUUUCUGCCGCUAGGUUUUCCAUCUGAUUUCGAAGCCCUUGUGGUACUUCUCGGAUGCGUUUGAUCAUGGCAUUUGGUAUGCCUUUCCUUUGCUUGUGUUGGAUUCACAACCAUUUAUUAAGGUAGUUGGUUUGAAAACUGCGUGUUGUGGGACCCAUCUCUUGUUUUGAGAGGGCAGCAGGUAUUUACAGUGAUAGUCCUUUUUGUUAUGAAGUCUAAGAAGUUCAGAUCAUUCAGAGGGAGGGGGGCAAUCAGUUGGGUGGAGUUGUUUGCUUGGCAAGGCUGACUCGAAGCCAGGAUUGGUGUGCCUAGUGCAUCGUCACUUAUCUCUGUAGGCAUGCUCCGGUCGAUGAGUAACCUCGUAAUCGAGGUGAACAAAAGCUCGUUCAAUCUCCAGUAGCGACUCAAGUUUGUCUUGAAGUGAUUCGCCAAUAUCAUGUGCCUGGCGCAGUGGCGUGUCCGCUGCCAGCACAAUAUCGACUUCUGCAAAGUAAUGUCACCCAAAGGUGUAUGCACGGACGGGGUCAAUUUGAGGCAUCUCCUUGUGAUGAUUCCAGCACAGAUAUGUCAAAUUUGACAAUUUGACAAGAGUGCCAAUUUAUUCUUCUUGUCUUGUUUUAAAAGUGCGUCGAUUAUUUCACUUCUAUUGUUGUGUUUGGAAGGUUGUGGGCUACCUACCUUUAAACAAAUGAAUUAAUUUAUUAAUAUUGAUUUUUUUUUAAUGAAAGUGAAUUACUCUUUUUUGUAGAAAUUUUCAUUUGAUAUUAGAAGUUGUCAAUUAUCUUAGUCUAAUUUAAUUUUUUGAAUUUAUUUGAGUUGUCUGUAGAAAGAAAAAUUAUGAAUGCUACUUUUGGUGGAAGUAAAAAUAGAUUUAUAACUAUUGUAGAUCUUCACAAGCUUCUCAAUACUCUUAGGGUAGAAAUUUUAUAUAUUUUUGAUAUGAAUCAUAAGAUAUUAUUUAUAAAUCCAAAGAAGAAGUUAAUAAUGAAGUUUAAAGUCUACACCAAAAAACUAUGUAAUUAAGAGAAGGAAGUAAAUCAAGUUUACAACUAAAUCGAAGGAGUUUUAUUACUAUAAGUGUAAGGGAAGCAAAGAUAAGUAUGCCCAAGAAGUUUGAUAGAACAAGAUAAAAAAUUUGACGAUUUUUACAAUAAAUAAAAAUUUAAUUUAAAGUUUCACCUUUCUCAAUAUCCUGAUGGAUUUACUCAAGUUGGAUUCAUAGAAGUAGUUCAUUUUAAAAUUAUUUUUUCAUGAUUUAUACCUUUGAUGAAAAAAGAUUCAUGACUAUUCUAUGUUUUGAAUUUAUUUUUGAAGGUGUUUAUGAUUAAAUUUUAAAAAAAUAAUUAAAAAAAGAUUGUAGAAAUCAAGAUCAUAUUUCUACAAUAAGAAUCAUUUUCAAUCACUACAUAUGCUACUAAAUUCAAAAAUCUUGCUUGUGACAUGAAUUGGAAUGAUAAAAUCAUUAACAAUUAAUUUUGAUAUGAAUUGAAAGAUAGUGUCAAAGAUACUGAGAGCAAAUUUAUUAGAAAAAUUUAUUCCUCAAGCCAUUACAUGUGACAAUUGACUAUUUGAAAUAUGCUAAAAAAAAAGAUUUGAUUAAAGAGGUACAUGUAAAGAAAUGGCAACAUCUUCAAAGUUUUUGGAAGCUUACUUAUCUAAACCAAAGCCUAUGCAAACUAAUACAAUAUUUUUUAAACUUCUUAUUGAGCAAAAUAAAAUUGGUUGUUAUUAAGAAGAUUUGUGCGUAUAUUACAAAGAAUCCAAACACACUAUUCAACAUUAUCCAAAAAAGCAAUGCAAUCACAAAUGAAAAGCAUGGUUGCCAAAGAAGAUGAUGUAUUAAAAAAUAAAUUUUUUCAGCUACAAUAAAGACUAUGGAGUUAGAAUCUUCUAUAAUAUUUAAAAAAUAUCUUAGUCUCUUUUUAGAUAUUUUGCCUUGUUUUAUAAUAAAAGUUUAUAUAGAAUCAAAAAAUCACAAAGUCUUAUCAUUAUUAGAUUUGGGAGCCUCAACGUGUUAUAUAGACAAAGAUUUUGUUAAAAAAUAAGAGAACUUGUUACUUAAGAAAACUUAAUCCAUACAUGUAGAAGUCAUAGAUGGUCAUUUUUUGUCUCUUAAAAAUAUUAUCCAUGAAUUUUUUUUCUUUUACAUAUAGCAAUUAAUGAUUAUAAUAGUAUAAUAAUAUUUAAUAUAAUAAGAUCUCUCUUUAAUUUGAUUAUUUUAAAUUAUCAUGGUUAAAAAAGUAUAAUCUUUAAAUAGAUUAGAUUUCUUAUAAUCUUAAUUUUUUUUUUAAUUUAAUCUAAAAUUUGUUAGUUAAGUAAAAAUAUAUAAAUUUAGUAGUAAAUAUAAGAGUUUUUAUAUAUGCAACAAAAAAAAGAUCAACUUUUGCUAUAUAUAUCAUGCCUAAUUUUGAUGGUCAAAAGACAUCAAAUGGUAUUCCUAACUAGUAUGAAGAUUUUUAGGAUGUUUUUGAAAAAAAAAUUGUAGAUAUACUAUAAGAACAUCAAUCCUAUGAUUAUUCAAUUGAUUUUCAAGAAGGAAUUCAACCACCAUUCAGACCAAUCUAUAGCUUAUUGUGAAAUGAAUUGGCUAUAUUUAAAAAAUACAUUAAUAAUAACUUGACUUAAAACUUUAUAUGUCAUUCAAAAUCUCUAGCAAGAGCUCUUUUUUUAUUUGUGAAGAAAAAAUAUGGAUCUCUAUAGAUGUGCAUAGACUAUUAAGGACUUAAUAAGAUCACUAUCAAAAAUAGGUAUUUCCUAUCCUUGAUUUUAAGACUUCUUAACCAACUCAAACAAUCAAAGAUCUAUACAAAAAUAGAUCUAUGAAGAGUAUACAACUUGAUCCAAAUCAAAAAAAGAGAUAAGUAGAAGAUUACUUUUUGAACUAAGUAUGGAUAUUUUGAAUAUAAUGUCAUGCUUUUUGGACUUACAAAUACACUAGUUGCUUUUCAACAUUUCAUGAAUAUUAUUUUUUGUGAAUUCCUUAAUUAUUUGAUCAUUUGUUAUUUAGAUGACAUUCUAAUCUAUUCUAAAAAUAUAAAAAUAUGAACUUUAUGUUUGUUGUGUAUUACAAAAAUUUAGAAAUGCAUGAUUAUAUAUCAAAAUAACAAAUUUAAAAAAAUAUAUUCUAUACUAUUCAAGUUGAUUUCUUAGGAUACAUCAUUUUCAACAAAAGACUAAUCAUAGAUCCAAAGAAAGUUCAAACUACCACAGAUUAAAAGAUUGGAAGAACAAUAAGAGAUGUGCAAUGCUUUUUGAACUUUAUCAAUUACUAUUGGAUCUUUAUUAAGAACUGUCUCAAGUUGUAGUUCUACUUAUACAUUUGGCUUAUAAAGACAAAUUUAAGUAGAAUAAAGAAGCCAAAGUAUUGUUUGAUGUUUUAAAUAAAGAAAUUAUUUUUGUACCAAUCUUAUAUUGCAUCAAAUUUUUUAAGGCAUUUUUUAUGGAAAUAGAUGCAUCAAAUUUUGCCUUAGAUGCCAUAUUAUUAUAAAUGGGAGUAGAUGACAAAUUUUAUGCAAUAGCUUUUUAUUCUAAAAAAUUCUCAACAUCAAAGAUCAACUACAUAAUCUACAAUAAAGAACUUCUUGCAAUUAUGAAUUAUUUUUAGGAAUGACAUUAUUAUCUAGAAGGUACUUUUAAUCUAGUCACCAUAUAUACUGAUCACAAGAAGCUUUAGUAUUUCAUGUCAAUACAGAUGUUGAAUCAUUGCCAAGUUUAUUAGAGCAUGUCAUUAUCAAGAUUUGAUUUUAAGAUCAAAUAUCAAUUUAGAAAAUAACAAGAUUUAUUAGACACCUUUUUUAGAAGUUCUUAUAUGGCACCAAAAGAAAAAAAAAUGUAACUUUUGAUUAUCAAAGAAUCAUUCUCUUUAAGCCCGUGCAUUUUCAUCUUCAAGAAAUAAAAUCAAAAUUGAUCCUUGAUUCAACCUUUGUUAAGCAAAUUCAAUCAAGUAUGUCUUUUGAUCUUCUUGUUCAUGAUAUCAAGAAUGCUUUUUGUAAGUCUCAUGAUACUUUUAAGUUUAAAUUUAAAAAAAACCUACUAUAUUUCAAAAGUUGCCUAUAUCUUCUAGAAAACAAAGUACAAUUACGUGUUCUUCAAAUUCAUUACAACUUUCUUAUAACUAGAUAUUUUAGAUAUAAUAAAUCUUUGGAGCUAAUAUUUAGAGAUUUUUGGUAGCCGCAAAUGUAAAAAGUUGUGAAAGACUUUAUAUAAUCAUGUGAUAUUUAUUUAAGGUCAAAAAUUCUUCAUCAUCAAUCUUAUAGAUUUUUUCAAUUAUUGCAUAUAUUAAAACAACCAUGUUCUUAUAUUUCUAUAGAUUUUAUUAUAGAUUUUUUAAGUUCAAGUUCAUAUGAUUAUAUAUUCAUGAUUGUAGAUCAUUUCACCAAAAUAGCAUAUUUUAUACUAUAUACAAAAUUUAUUUUAGAUGAAAAAAUAACUAAGAUUUUCUUGAUAAUGUCUAUUACUAUCAUAAAUUGCCAAAAGAUAUUAUAUGAGAUAGAAGGAUACAAUUUAUAUCAAGAUUUUGAAAAAACUUUUUUAAAAUAUUAAAAGUGGAUAUAAAAUUAUCUUUGAUCUUUUUAUCUUCAAAUUAAUCGACGAAUAGAACAAGUGAAUUAAAUUUUGGAGUAAUAUUUGAGAUGUACCAUCAAUUAUCAUUAAGAUGAUUAGAUAACUCUUUUUCCAUUGGCAAAGUUUACAUAUAAUAUUUUGGUACAAUCUUCUACUUAAUCAAUACAUUUCUUUGUCAAUUAUAAUUAUCAUCUAUGAUUUAAUAGUUUUGACAUUUCAAAAGUUAAUAAUCCUACAACAAAAUAUUUGGCAAAUUAUUUGUCAUAGCUAUAUGCAAUAAUAAAGGUGCAAUUAAAAGAAGCUCAAGAAUGACAAAAAAUAAAUACACAUGCCUAUUGCAAAGAAAAACUAUAAUUCAAUGUGGAUGACAAGGUAUAAUUACUUUGUUACAGUAUGAAAACUACUUCUCCUUGUGACAAGUUGGACUAUCAUAGGCUUGAAUCUUUUCUUAUUUGAGAACAAAUCAAUCUAGUUUCUUAUUGAUUACAUCUACAGGAGUUAAUGAAAAUUUAUUCGAUAUUCCACAUAUCUCUUCUUAAGCCAUAUAAGACAAUAGAUAUUUUGAAAAGACACAAAUGCCACCUCCUUCUAUGAAAAGAAUAAUAAUCAAGAAUUCAAAAUAGAAGAAGUCUUAGAUUCAAGGUGGUACUAAAAUAGAUUAGAAUAUCUUAUUCAUUAGCAUAAAUAUGAUAUAAAUAAACGCACAUGGCAGCCAUCAAAGAAUUUUGUAAAUGUAGCAAAGAUAGUUGAGGCUUUUCAUUGACAACAUCCAUCAAAAUUAAGAUGAAGAAAAAUAAUUUUUAUGAAAGAUGAUGACUGCUCAUCAUAGAAUUUAUUUCUAAAAGAGGAAGUAAUGUCACAAACAUACAUAUUUACUCUAAUGAUUAUUUAUAUGAUUAGAUAGAAUUAGAUAAAAUUAGAUUAAUUUCAUAUUAUAAAGAUUUAAAUUAAAAUAGUAUCAAAGACAUAGUAGAUUAAAUUCAUUAACAAGUCUUGUUUCAAGACUUUUUAAUCUUCUUGUGAUUGGCAAUAGCCAAUUUAAUUGAAUAUUUUAUCAUUUUUAAGUAACAUAAGAAUAUAUUAAAUAUUCUUUCUUUGAGAUUAAUGUCCUUGAUACUAUUUUAAUUUGAAAGUUAAUAAACAUAUAGGUACUAGUUAAUAUUAAGCUUAUAACUAAGCAAGAAGUUUCUAUGUAUUCAGAUAUGUUGAAUCUAAAAUAAAUUAUUAUUUUUUUUAUUUUUUCUUUAGGUAAAAAUUCUUAUAUUGAUUUUUUCAUAUUUUACUUUUCUUCAUAGAUCAUAGUGACUUUAUUAAAAAAUACUUCUAUUUAUUUUCUUUAUAGACCAUGUCAAAGAUAAAGUAGGAUUUUUCUAUUCUUACAAAUAAUCCUAGAUGGUUGCAAUAUGUAAAUCCUAUUAAUGGAUCUUAAUUGGUGAAUUGAUUUAUAAUAUAAUUUUAAGAUAUUUUAAUUAUAGCAAAAUUUAGAUUAAAAUUCUAUUGCUUGUUUAAAUAUUUAUUACAAAUUAAAAGUGUUUUAAGGUUUCAAAAGACUUAUUAGAGAAAAUAUUAUAAAAAUGGAGUCAUAGUUAGUAUUAGAGGCAAUUAUCAUAGUUGAUUUAGUAAUUUUGCUUAAUAUUAAAUAUUAAUAUACCAUAUUGUACAAACCAAAAGGUGAGACUUAUCCAAUUUGUAACUAAGACAUUGCAAAUGCCCUAUUCUUAGCUUAUGGCACCUUUAGUAAACAAUUGUGUUUAUCCUGUUUUCAUGCUUUCAUAUUAAUAUUCCAUCUUGUUUUCACAACUAAGCACACCAAUCCACCAAACCUGGCUUCGAGUCAGCCUUGCCAAGCAAACAACUCCACCCAACUGAUUGCCCCCCUCCCUCUGAAUGAUCUGAACUUCUUAGACUUCAUAACAAAAAGGACUAUCACUGUAAAUACCUGCUGCCCUCUCAAAACAAGAGAUAGGUCCCACAACACGCAGUUUUCAAACCAACUACCUUAAUAAAUGGUUGUGAAUCCAACACAAGCAAAGGAAAGGCAUACCAAAUGCCAUGAUCAAACGCAUCCGAGAAGUACCACAAGGGCUUCGAAAUCAGAUGGAAAACCUAGCGGCAGAAAACAAAUCAGGUUCGAUGUAACGACCAGCAUGUGAUUGAACAUGUCCACUUAAUACGAUUGAUGUAACCAAAUGCUCCAUAAACAGUCAAUAAACUUGGUUAGACGGACACGCUAGUUGCAUAUCCUCGAAUUGCCCGCGGAUGAUGAUGUGCGCUGUGUGCAUCACUUGUGAUGUCGGAGGAAGGAGUGAGCGACUGCGGGAGGUGUUGGGGGCAACGGAGCGGUGUGGUUGAGCGGGUCACCUCAUGUGGAACGGGGUGUUGUCAACAGAGAGGAAGGUCACCUUUUGGAUAGAGCUGUUUGAAUGUGUGCACAGUUGUUGACAUGACCGGAGAGCGGAGUUGAGAAUGCGUGGGGUGAUUGGAGUGAACGUUUGGGGGCUCGUGGAAGGAGCGUGGUCCAUCCCAACCAUGGUGGAGCGCAGCGGCGGCAAAUGCAGAAACGGCUCCGAGGAAAAGAAGGUGAUGGUGAGACCUGGACAGUGGGCGCAUCUGGGAGUGGGAUUACAGCCAGGAUGGAGCCAAAUACAUGGAUUCCGUCAAGGCAGCCAGGGGUGGCGCGGAGGGAACGAGGGACAAAAGCAGUCCCAGGACCGAAAGCCGGGACAGAAUCCGGUGGAAAGGGAGCGCUGGGGGAAGGGGGCAAGGGAUUUGCGACGGCGCAUGGGCCACUCAGCGGGGUCAGAGGGGGCGGCGGUGAGUGGUGCCUGGGGCGGGAUUGGGUUGAUAUUGAGAACCGGAUGAGAGACGUGCAUCGCCGUGGGAUCCGUGGCGCAAUGGUAGCGCGUCUGACUCCAGAUCAGAAGGUUGCGUGUUCGAUUCACGUCGGGUUCAAACUCCCGAAGGAAAUGGUGACUACCCUGCGGCCUCCCUAGUUCGCUUCGCCCCUGGCCCACCCUGAGCGGGGGGGUCUGAUUGUGGUCGGUCGAGGGGCGCUGACCGUGUGGCCCAAUGGAUAAGGCGCUUGCCUACGGAGCAAGAGAUUCUGGGUUCGAUCCCCAGCAUGGUCGUGGGUCGCCGGAAUUGUAGAUUGUGGCGCGUGUCAAUUUGGCCGAGUGGUUAAGGCGGCAGACUCGAAAUCUGCUGGGGUUUCCCCGCGCAGGUUCAAAUCCUGCAGUUGACGACUCCGCUGCCCAUUGUUUCUCCUCCCCUUCCGCACUCUCGUUUUCGUGCCCCGCGCCCCCCUUCUCGAUUUUCCCUUCUCUUGAAUUACCCCAUUCUCCAGUUCUUUCGAUGCGAACCUCCUUCGGCUCAUUCCAUUUCCAUGCAGCAAAUGCCAUUUCAAUGAUUAAGCACUCCUUUCCAACACAUAACCUUCUCACAUUUCAUCCAAUAUGCACAACUCUUCUCUAACCAUCUUCAUUCCAAUUUACAAGCUGAGAGUGAUUUAUUUAAUUCCAAUUUACAAGCUGAGAGUGAUUUAUUUAAUUCCAAUUUACAAGCUGAGAGUGAUUUAUUUAAUUCCAAUUUACAAGCUGAGAGUGAUUUAUUUAAUUCCAAUUUACAAGCUGAGAGUGAUUUAUUUAAUUCCAAUUUACAAGCUGAGAGUGAUUUAUUUAAUUCCAAUUUACAAGCUGAGAGUGAUUUAUUUAAUUCCAAUUUACAAGCUGAGAGUGACUUAUUUAAUUCCAAUUUACAAGCUGAGAGUGAUUUAUUUAAUUCCAAUUUACAAGCUGAGAGUGAUUUAUUUAAUUCCAAUUUACAAGCUGAGAGUGAUUUAUUUAAUUCCUAGUGUUAAAUACUCUUGACAAACUUUUAAUGACAAUUUCUAGUAUUGGCCCCCUCCUCUCUUAUGUUGGCACUACACUCUUUGUAAUAGAAAUUAUUAACAUAGUAGAUAAUCCGUAUCAUGCAAGAAAAUAAUAUAAAAAAAAGAAACAAGGUUGCAAGAGCUUGAAUAAGAAGUCACAAAGUUUGCUUUUGUGAUUCUUAAAAUGAUAUCUUGUAUAUCAAGGAUGGUUGGAUGUCAUGAAGAAAGUUGGAAGUUUUGUGUUGUUCAUUAAGUUUAAUUCUGAUGGUUAAUUAAGUAGAUGGAAUUAAGAUAAAAAACCUAACAUAUUACACUUAGAAGAAAUACAAAUAGAUUUUCACUAUUGAAAGUUUUUGAAUGUGACCUUUGUAAACAAACCUAAUAUAUUGUCAUGGUUAUAAUUAUGUAAGCUAAUAAUUACAUAUAGAAAUAGGUAGAAGUAAGUAAAAGUAGGUAAAAGUAAGUUAAUUCUAUAAUAUUUAAUAUGGAAGCUUCUUAGAAGCUUCCUAGAUGCUGCUUUGACUUCAUAGGUGUAUUUAAUUGACUUUUUGGAUUAGAAACGUGGUCAACAAGUUGGCCAUGUGCCACACAUGUUGUUAGCUUGAAGAUCAAGCUAAUUAUGUGGCCCACAUAUAGAAAAACUUGCCUUGUAAGUCAAGGCAUGUGUCCUACAAAGUCAACACAUAUUGGAGGUCCUAUAGAACGUCGCCACGUUACCCCUAGUUAGAUAGUAUAUAUAGAGAGAAGAGUGAAGGCUUCUUCACUCUUGUCAACUCCUUUCUUACUUCUAGUCUAGUUUCAAGGGUCUCUAAUUUUCUUGUCUUUUGGCAAUAGCCAUUCCAGUUUCUCUUUCAAUAUAUAUACUUGUUUAUAUAUAUUUUGUUACCUCUCUUUGAGUGAAGGCUCACUUGUUUGAAUUAUUUUUUCAUCGAGUUCUUGUCCUUGACAGAUUGAUAAAAGUACACUUACAAUAUCCGAGCUUUGUCUAAUCUUGAUUAAGAGUGGAUUAUCCCUUUUUCUUGAUAAGAUAUAAGCGUAUUAGAAGUUGUGGAUUAUCCUCUUCUAAACUGAUAUUGUCCUUAGUAUUUUCUUUGUCCGCAAGUCCUCUCUUCUAUUUGUCUUGAGAGAUAUUAGAUAUCUUCUCUCUUCUAAGUGUUAUCAUGGCAGAACUUCUUGAAAUGAAGAGUGCAAUGGCACAAAUGCAAGAGCAAUUGAGGGAGUUAAUGCUUGCAAUGCAUCAACUCAAUUUACCACCACAAGGAGCAACAAGAUUGGCAGGAAGUGAAGAUAUAGAAAUGGUUGAUCCUGCUUCAACAUCUGCACCAAACCAUAUCCUUUCUCCUAUGGUAGAACGCCCUUCAAAUGUUAGAGAACCAAGAAUUACCUUACCCGAGAAGUUUGAUGGUAUCAGAUCCAAGUUUCGAGGAUUUAUCAAUCAAGUGCAACUUGUGAUUGAACUUCAACCCCAAAGCUAUCCAACUCCAAGAUCACAAGUUAGAUUCAUUGGUACGCUUCUUUCAGGUUCGGCACUAUCGUGGUUUUCAUCUUUUGUUGAACGACGAGAUCCAAUAUUGGAUAAUCUAGAGGCUUUUUUGGCGGAGUUUCGAUCCAUGUAUGGAGAACAUGAUGCAAUUCAUGUUGCAACCAAUAAGAUCCGUAUUUUACGACAAGAUAAUCGAUUAGUAACGUUAUAUGCUUCACAAUUUCAACAACUUGCAACUAAUAUCAAGUAGGAUGAUGCUGCACUUAUUAGCCAAUUUCUCUACGGAUUACAAUAUGAGGUAAAAAAAUUAAUGCUCAACUUACCUGAUCCUCAAACAUUGAAUCAAGCAAUUGACUUUGCUGUGAAGUGCGACAAUCGCCUUUUUGAAUUCCGAUCUGAGAACCGUACAAGUGGACCUCAAUGUUACUAUAAUUCAAUGGCAACUCCAACAUCUCUUCAAUACAUACAUUCGAAAGUAGACGAUAUGCAAAUUGAUGCAGUAUGUUUCAAACCUCUUACUGAGGAAGAAAAGACUCGUCGUCGUUAAAAAGGAUUAUGUUUAUAUUGUGGAGAACCAAAGCACACUGCUCAAUAUUGUCCAAAGAAAUGAUACAAUCACAAAAUGAGGAGUAUGGCUGUGAAAGAAGAUAAUAUGUCAGAAAACAAAUUUGUCCAGCUACAAUAGGGACCGUGUGGCUGGAACCUUGCACAACUUCUAGCAAAGGUCCUAUUCUCUCCUCAAA